CUACACGACCGUACCGCAAACCGACACUGGUGCGCGAGAUGAGUAUUCUAAGGCGCUUGAGAGAACUCAGGAGAAGGAACUCGGCAAAUUGACACCGUAACUUCGGAAGAAGGUGUGCCUUUAGUAGGUGAACCUGUACAAGGGGAGCCCAAUGAGGUUGCAAAAAAUCGGUGGCUGCGACUGUUUAAUAAAAACACAGCACUCUGCAAACACGAAAGUGGACGUAUAGGGUGUGACGCCUGCCCGGUGCUGGAAGAUUAAAUGAUGGGGUGCAAGCUCUUGAUUGAAGUCCCAGUAAACGGCGGCCGUAACAAUAACGGUCCUAAGGUAGCGAAAUUCCUUGUCGGGUAAGUUCCGACCUGCACGAAUGGCGUAACGAUGGCCACACUGUCUCCUCCUGAGACUCAGCGAAGUUGAAAUGUUUGUGAUGAUGCAAUCUCCCCGCGGAAAGACGGAAAGACCCCAUGAACCUUUACUGUAGCUUUGUAUUGGACUUUGAACAGAUCUGUGUAGGAUAGGUGGGAGGCUUUGAAGUGUGGUCGCUAGAUCGCAUGGAGCCAACGUUGAAAUACCACCCUGGUGUGUUUGAGGUUCUAACCUAGGCCCGUAAUCCGGGUCGGGGACAGUGCAUGGUAGGCAGUUUGACUGGGGCGGUCUCCUCCCAAAGCGUAACGGAGGAGUUCGAAGGUACGCUAGGUACGGUCGGACAUCGUGCUAAUAGUGCAAUGGCAUAAGCGUGCUUAACUGCGAGACUGACAAGUCGAGCAGAUGCGAAAGCAGGACAUUGAUCCGGUGGUUCUGUAUGGAAGGGCCAUCGCUCAACGGAUAAAAGGUACUCUGGGGAUAACAGGCUGAUACCGCCCAAGAGUUCAUAUCGACGGCGGUGUUUGGCACCUCGAUGUCGGCUCAUCUCAUCCUGGGGCUGUAGCCGGUCCCAAGGGUAUGGCUGUUCGCCAUUUAAAGAGGUACGUGAGCUGGGUUUAAAACGUCGUGAGACAGUUUGGUCCCUAUCUUCCGUGGGCGCUGCAGAUUUGAGGAAGCCUGCUCCUAGUACGAGAGGACCGGAGUGGACACACCUCUGGUGUAUCGGUUGUCACGCCAGUGGCAUUGCCGAGUAGCUAUGUGUGGAAGAGAUAACCGCUGAAAGCAUCUAAGCGGGAAACUCGUUUCAAGAUGAGAUCUGCCGGGGCCUUGAGCCCCCUAAAGAGUCGUUCAAGACCAGGACGUUGAUAGGUCGGGUGUGGAAGCGCAGUAAUGCGUUAAGCUAACCGAUACUAAUUGCUCGUGCGGCUUGACCU
rnacentral:rRNA from 1 species